AAUCAUCUAACUCUGUCAAUAAAACGACAACUCAAAACUAUACACACAUCACCCUUAAAAACCAUCAUCCCACAUCAGCAGUCAUGGACUCCUCCUUUACUCUGUUUCUCACACUAACAAUAAUCAUCACUCCACCGCCUCCCCCUUUCUCUCCACCGCUAACCGCUUUCUCCGAUCACGUUUCCGGCGAUUUAAGCGCCGCUCGUUUGGUUCCGUUGAACCGGCUUCUGUUUCCGAUCACUUUUCAGAAACUCGGCUCCGACCACCUAUUCAUGUCGUUUAGGGUGAAAAAAGGCAAAAAAAAACAACAACCUGCAGGUCGAACCAGCCGAAUUUUUGACAUUUGCUGAAAAUAGCCAAACCGGCAAACCGGAUCGGCGGAGGGACGGAACCCCGGCGGCGGCGAUGGUGGGUCUAUGGUACUAACGGUUCUGAAGGUUUCAAUAUCAUGGUCAUGAGCGGUUUUGUAACAUCUCAUCAAAUCGAUGACUAUUUGGAGUCUACUUUGUUUGUCUCUUCAUCUCUCUCUAUCUCUCAUAGAUCCGCAACUGUUGUGUGUGACUGGUGUAAUUGUUUGGUGAUAUACCAUGUUUGCCUCUCUGUCAGAAAUUGUUACCGGUGACGUUGACGGUGACGAAGAUAUGAAAGGACAAAAAUGUAAUUUGAGUGGGGCUGUCGGUGGCAAAGGCCACCGACUUUGUAAUUUAAGAUAGACUAGUAAAUAGACCUGCGCGCGUUGCGGCGCGGGUACAAUGCAAAUAUCAAGCAAAUUAGUGUAAACGUUAUAUGACCCGCGACCGAUGCGCAACCAUCAAAAGUGGCUUAUUAUAGCUUUAAAAAAUAGAAACGACGUGAAAUGUAGAGUAACUCGAAUUUAUACCGUCAAAUAAAAAUGUAUUAUAAUUAACAA